CCAACGUUUCUGUUGCUCGCUUGACAGCUAAAGCCACGAAGCGCCGACGACGGCUAUGGAGCUGGUAGCUUGCAGUGUAGGCUCGCUUACAGAGCAAUCGUGCUGCUGAACAGAGAGCUAUAAGCAACGCCCCCCAAGCUCCGUCGCAGCCGCCUGGCCAGAGUGGCAAAGCUUACAAACCACACAGCCCUUAGCCACGGAGCGGCCCGGAAACACAAAGCCGAAGGGUGCGCAAGCGAAACCAAACAGCGUCUGUACGCCCCUACCGCGUAGCUCCAAGGUCAAGUGUGGAGGCGGUGUCCCCACGUAGGCCGGGCAACGUGGCACGGGGAGGGCGCGCCCCGAAGGCAAACUGCUGGCAGUCGCCUCCGCGCCGCGCACCCCGGCCAAGCCAAGGCAGCCUAGGGAGCCGGAGCGAGGGAGCUACAGAGCAGGUACGUCUGCCGCCGGAGCGCCUGGGCCAGCCCUGGCAACUCAUAAAGCCAGGCGACGCACCGGCCGUAGCACCCCCCGUCCGAGUGCCUACCUGUAUACUCGCAGCCACAAAAAUGCCCGUGGUUCCUGUCUUCCCCUCACAGCGGGCCCGAGACAAGCCGCCCCUUGCCCGCCGCGACGUGGCUUUUCGUGCU
rnacentral:rRNA from 1 species